rnacentral:rRNA from 1 species
UUUUUGGGGUUGCUCGAGUGGCGAACGGGUGAGUAACACGUGAGUAACCUGCCCUUGACUUUGGGAUAACUUCAGGAAACUGGGGCUAAUACCGGAUAGGAGCUCCUGCUGCAUGGUGGGGGUUGGAAAGUUUCGGCGGUUGGGGAUGGACUCGCGGCUUAUCAGCUUGUUGGUGGGGUAGUGGCUUACCAAGGCUUUGACGGGUAGCCGGCCUGAGAGGGUGACCGGCCACAUUGGGACUGAGAUACGGCCCAG